GCGACAGACAAACGGGCGUCACUCUGCUAGAGGGAAAAAAAUACUUCCGGUGAAAAAUCCUUCACCAAAAUAAAAGCAAAAAGCACCAGGAGGGACAAUUUUUGCAUUUAAACUUCACUUUAAACAAAGCAAACACAAAAAGCAAACGGCAAUAUUUAAAUCUGGUGAAUGCAAAAACACUUAAAAUGAAACUGCUGUUUAAUAACUUGGCAAAACCACAAGCUAAAAGGUUUGAGUUGUAACACCUUACCUUUAUUAUGAAAAAUUACACCGAGGAAAACUGUGAUAAAUUUUAGUUUUGUUUGACGACGGUUAAAGAUGCAGGUGCGCAGCUCAGACAGCCCAUACUGUAGAUGCUAAACUGAGCCCACGACACUGCACCGUACCACGAGAUUCCAGUCGGUGACGAUGCGGUCGGCCGUGGCGCUGACGAGGAGUCCGAGGUAGAAGGAGGAGAGGAAGAAGGCCGAGACGGAGACGAACAUCACCCACCCCUGCAGCAGAGGCACGGGCACGUCGGAGGACGCCACCAGGAUCCACACCAAGCCGCCGAAAACCUGCCGGAGAGAGGUGCACGGAUGCUAGUGAGCCCCUGUGUACACACACAUGCCCGUCAACACACUGGGACACACGUCAGGUGUAACAACGUUGUAUUAUGUCCCGCAAGCAGUUGUUUUGUGUAAAGAGAAGCGAGGCUGGAUGCGAUGGGACGCCCGCGUGGCGCCCCGUACAGACACAGGAAGCGCUAACAGCGGCUGAUGGAGCCCGUGACGAUACAGUGGCUCCCCUCAUUUCACGGAUUGUGUUUGCAGCUGAGGGCCUGUGGCCCGUUCAGAGUGAUAAUCAGAGCAGUACGAGUCACCUUGGAGGAUUGAAGGUCACGGAAAGUCAGAAAACACAAGUCAAUGCGCACAUCAUGAGGCCCGAGAACGUCACCGGGCAACGUCGACGGCAGCGCCUCGGUGCCCGGUUAGAGACACGUUAACGUGGAUAGAAGUGUCCUAGAAUUAGUCCGUGGCCCGAGGACCAGAAGGCUAUUAAUUAUUAAUACAGACAUACACAGCACAGGUUACGCGGAGUCCAAGCGGGUCAUUGAAGCCACAAGUCAAUGCCACCCAUAGGAAACACUCACUAUCUCUAAGCAGAUGAGGACCCCGGACGACGUCCUCAGGAUCUCCGGUCCCAUGGGCAGGGAAAUAACCGGCGCUGGGAAGGAGGAGGCAGCGGGGUUGGUGGCUGGUUCCGACAUCUUUCUGCUUCGUCUCGGGUCUCUGCCGCUCCGUCCUCUGCCGCGCAGCCUCUGGCUCGCACCAAACGCGCUCCGUUAAACAAAGAGUCGGAGCAGCGGGCAGAAUUCCUGCGGAGUCAUGUGGCCGCUUCCCCGCGAAACAGGUAGGACAGGUGCACGAGACACUCCCUGGAAGGCGGCGGGGCGUUCACGGACCUCACGGAAGCGCCAGUGUCCGAACAUCACAACAAAAUGCGUCAUGAAACUGAGCUAUUGAUUAAUCUGUGCUUGAAAUGGCAUACUUAGAUAACACUUUGUUAAUAGUUAUGGCAUAUCGUUUUGAUUUUUGGAUUACUGCUGUUUAACCUUUUAUUAGUAAGUUGGUAAUAAACCCUUAUAAAAGACUCGUGUGCCAAUGACUCUGUUAAAGAUCAAAAAGUGCCGGUAGUUGUUAGACACUAUUCAUUUUGGUUUGAAAGGAAACGAGGGUGAAGGGACAUUUCCGCGUGUGGUGACUGACCUUCACAGCACAGGAGAGAGAGAAACAGAUUUAAUAAGUAAAUAUUAUUUUAACAGCUGAGGCACGACAACAAUUUCCAGACAAACGGAGCCCUCAUUUUAAAUGAAAGGCGAAAGUGCUGGAGCGUCAGCAGAGAUUUAAUCAAACGGCGGAGGCGCGUUUCCUGCGUCGUUAAAUGAGUUUUCAGCGGUUUGUUCCUCGCUGUGAGCUACAGUUAAUGUUUACACAGGUUUUGGGUUAAGGGACCAGUGUUGACAUAACCUGUGUGAACGCGCUGGCCUCCGUUCACGUCAGUCUGGAAGGUUAUUAGAAUAAACGUGCUCUACAUUUUCCAUCCCAUUCUGUGAUGGAUCAGAAUCCUGAUCAGAGUCUCUGUUGGACUCGCUUCCAUUCAAGUGUAAUCUGCCAGAAAUGCCUCGUUAUUGCUUCUUACACAUUUGUGCAUUAGUGUUUAGCUGCAAAGUUCUGGAAAAAAGUGUACAGUAACAAUGUUAAUCUGUCCAUUUACGAGUUGUUGAGUCAUUUCUCUACUCAGGCCGGUUACUGUUGACAUUAAAGAACUUAAUAUUUUCUCAAAAUGCUUCAAGAAAAGGAGAAAUUAGUUAAACAAAUAAAGCCCUAGAAACAGAAAA